GAAAUCAUACUUAAUUUUCUUAAACAAAAUUUCUCACAAAUAUCAAUUAACAAUCAAAGAUUAUUUCUUUUCGCUAGGGAUAAUCUCGUGCAUUAGCACAAGUACAUCAUGAUAUCUUUGAAUAUAUAACCUGACAAUUGAAUGUCAAUUGACAAUCAAUCAAAUUAAUUAAUUAAUUACUUCAACCAAAUUUUUUUCUCCAUUAUUUUUUCUUUACUAGGGUUUUAAGGUCUAGUUUGGAGGGAAAGAAAAGAAGAAAAAAGAAAAAAAAAAAAACUCCUUAAACCCUUUUUCCUAUCCAAAUUUCUGCAACUCACUCUCUUUCUCUCUCUAAAACCUCUCAUCUUCAAACUCCAUAGCCAUGUCUAAGCUCUAAGCUUUAAGCUCAGUUUCUCUCUCCUCCUCCCCAGAAAAUUCUGGGGAUGUUAUACCCUUCUUUACCUAAAAUGAAAUCCCUAAUUUCGCCCAAAACUUUCUCUCUCCUCCCUAAAUCAUCACCUUCCUUCCAAUUCUAUUUUCGGCGCCCUUUUUUCCUCCAUAAAACCCCUAAUUUUCUCUCUCCUCUUCCACCCUUUUCCCCAAUGUUGCGUACUCUUCGUUGUUACGCUUCUUCCUCUCACCAAACGCAGCAGCAUCCUUCGCCGCCGCCGUCGUCUUCCGGUGAAAUUCAUGUUAUUGUGGGCCCCAUGUUCGCCGGAAAAACCACCUCCCUUCUUCGCCGUAUCCAAUCAGAGUGCAGCAAUGGCAGUUUUCAGGCUGCACAAGUCAAGAGCUCUUCCCUAGUGUUGGAUAAAACAUUGAAGGACCUUUGUUACUCUGGAAGAUUGAUGGAGGCAAUUGGGCUACUGUGCCGUUCUGAAGCAAUUGUGGACUGGCACACUUAUUCUCUUUUGCUGCAAGAAUGUAUACAUGGAGGGACAUAUGAGUGGGGUAAAUUAAUUCAUGCCCAUAUGGUUAUUGUUGGGUUUACUCUCAAUGAAUACCUGAAGACCAAAUUGUUGAUUUUGUACUCUAAGGCAGGGAAGUUGGGGACUGCCUGCAUUCUCUUUGAUGAAUUGCUAGAGAAGAGCUUAAUUUCUUGGAAUGCAAUGAUUGCAGGGUAUGUACAGAAAAGCAUGGAAGAUGUGGGAUUGAGUCUGUAUCACAAGAUGAGGCAUAUUGGUGUGACUCCAGAUCAAUUUACCUUUUCAUCUGUGUUCAGAGCAUGUGCCUCACUGGCGAUGCUGGAACAGGGAAGACAAGCCCAUGGUGUCAUGGUAAAAUGUGGAAUUGGGAAAAAUGUUGUUGUUAAUAGUGCACUCAUGGAUAUGUAUUUCAAAUGCAGCUGUUUAACUGAUGGACAUCAGGUGUUCGUUAAAUCUUCUGAUAAGAAUGUAAUUACUUGGACCGCCCUCAUGUCUGGAUACGGACACAAUGGAAGGACUGGUGAGGUUUUGGAUCUCUUUGACAAAAUGAUAAAAGAAGGUCUGAGACCUAAUUACGUCACCUUCCUUGCUGUUCUUUCUGCUUGUAGCCAUAGAGGUCUUGUUGAUGAAGGUUGGAAAUAUUUUUUACUAAUGAAGAAUGACUAUGGGAUCCAACCUCAUAAAAAACAUUAUGCUGCUAUGGUUGAUCUUUUAGGGCGUGCUGGGAGGUUAGAAGAGGCUUAUAAUUUUAUUAAUAGCUCACCAUGUAAGGAAAAUUCUGUGGUCUGGGGUUCUUUGCUUGGAGCUUGUCGUCUUCAUGGUAAUGUUAAGCUGCUGAAAUUAUCAGCAAUGAAAUUUUUUGAGUUGGAGCCUGAAAAUGCAGGAAAAUAUGUUGUUUUAUCCCAUACUUUUGCCUCCCAUGCAAUGUGGGAAAAUGUGGCUGAGGUUUGGGGUUUGAUGAGAGACUUUGGGGUGAAAAAAGAUCCUGGAUAUAGUAGAAUUGAGCUCCAAAAGGAAGUCCAUUUCUUCUACAAGAGUGACAACACACACAAAGAUACUAAAGAUAUAUAUGAAAUGCUUAAAGUUUUGACUUGUGCACUAAUGGACAGUGAUUACAUUCUAGACUUAAGUUUUGAGUAAUAUUAGUUGUACAACUAUCAAGAUUUUCAAGUCUCAGAAUUGGUGAUAUCAUUAAAGGGUUGCUUUGCUGGUUGUAUGUGAGCAAUCUAAACAUGAAAGUGGCUCUGAUAAAAUCAAAUAAAGACACGAGAUAUGAACUCAAUUCAAUUGUCACUCAUGAUGGAGAAAAAUGUCCAUGC